rnacentral:lncRNA from 1 species
GUGGAGGCGGGGCUUCCUGUAGUUCACGGGGUCGACCUGUCGCUCAGACCCCCGAACCUACUUUCCCCUAGGCCGGCAGCAGGAUGGCUGAGGAGGAGGUCCAGGGCCGCCUGUGGCUGGAGAGCCCCGCUGGGGGAGCUCCUCCCAUCUUCCUGCCUUCGAACCGGCAGGCUCUGGUCCUGGGCCGGGGUCCCCUCACCCGUGUUACGGACCGGAAGUGCUCCAGAAACCAAGGUGGGGACGGGCUUGAGCGGGAAGGGGUGUGGCCUGCUCUAGAGGCGGGAAUGAGAUCCUAAAGAAUGAUGCACCGAGGGACGCUCGGCUACUAGGCACAAUUGCGUGGUGCGUCCAGCCCAGGGGUCGAUUGGUGCCUUCUGGGGAGCGCAGAAGGAGAGGUUGUACCUGACCUUGGGGAAGAGGGUGUGGUGCCAACCCCGGGAGAAUUGUCAGUGGGCACAGGAGGCUGCUCUCGGGCCAUUUGAAGGUUUAAAACUGGCCACCACCUUUGUGAAGAGAGGUGAUCCUACAGAGAAAAGUAAAAGCCGGGUGGACGUGGACGGUAACAGGGCAAGCCCAGGGCCUGCGUCAAGCCUCACUUAUUAUUAUUUAUAUGAAAGUGUCUGCCCUGUUCAUAGGCAAGGACCAUGCCACGCGCAGUCCUAGGGACUCUCGCAGUGGGAUCCAAUCCCAUUGAGAAAUAAACUGUCUCUUACUCUCUCCGGAAUGGAUGCUGUAGCUCCAUUCUGUGGCCUGAAACUGGCCACCGCUCCCCAGUAUGAGGGGGCCCUUCACACAAGGAUGUGAUCCUGACCCCACCCCCUCAUCCCCUAGUGGAGCUGGUUGCAGACCCUGAGACCCGGACAGUGGCUGUGAAACAGGUACCAGUGCUUCAGCAAGGGGCAGCAGUGUCUGGGGGUAGGGUCUGGAGGGGAAUUGCAAACUGGCAGGGGGUAGACCCAUUAGAAAACUGGCCAGAAGAAGGGGGUGUGCUGGUGAAAAAGAGUUGUCGGCUUUAUUUGGGUAUCCAUCUGUCCCCUUUCAACUGGGCAAGACUGGAAGCCUAUAAGGGUCUGAUUGGUAGGUGGACUAAAUCACCCUGUGGUAUUGGGGGGGGGGAGGUUCUCACAGUGGGUGGAGCUGGUCCCAGCCCCUCCCUCUUUCUCUGCAGCUGGGCGUUAACCCUUCAACUGCUGGAACCCAGCAGUUGAAACCAGGGUUGGAGGGCUCUCUGGGGGUGGGGGACACACUAUAUUUGGUCAAUGGCCUCCACCCACUGACCCUGCGCUGGAAAGAGACCCAUACAUCAGGAUCCCAGCCAGAUACUCCGCCUGGCACCUCUCCAGUAGCUUCAGAUGAAGAGCAGGAGAAGGAUGCUAAGCAGCAGAAAAAGCGCUUAAGGAAGUCAUCCCCUGGCUGGGAGAGCUUGGAGAAGCUGCUAGUGUUCACAGCACCUGGGGUGAAGCCUCGGGGCAAGGUGAGGCUGCUGGAGGUUCUGCCCUAGGCCGGGCAUUCAGUCUGAACUUCAAAUGUGAUCCUAGGCAAGGCUGUCAGCCUCUUAGCCUUGGGGGAAGUGUGGGUUGGUCCCUGCUGCCCCUUGGUAGACACCCAGGAAUCAGCAGGAUGACCAGGAACAGGUCAGCAGGGGCUCUUCAGACUGCACUUAGAUGUGGUCAAGGCCAUGCUGAGUCUACAUCUCACCUCUGAAAUGAUGACUUCCCAAAAAGUAUGUGGCCUUGGUCCCUGACAGGCAGUGGGCACCCCAAAAAAGCUUUGCUCUGGUUUUAUUUCCCCUGUAGUUAUUAAUCUCCAAGGUGUAAAAGCCCAGGGGAGGAGAUCGGGUAAGAAACUAAUUCUCAUUUUGAUACUAGAAAUGCAGAGGUGGGGUGGACACAGGAGUGACAGGACAGUAGGAUUUCAGGUGAUGUGUCUGUGCCUCAUCCCUGUUGGGUCAUAUCUACAGAAAACCAUCUCCCUGCAUCAAAGUGUUAUUGUGACUCAUCCUGUGAGUGAAGAGACAGGUGUCUCAAUGCUGCCCCUCCUCUGUUCUUGGUGACACCAGGUAGCUGCCUUUGAUUUGGAUGGGACCCUCAUCACCACCCGCUCUGGGAAGGUGUUUCCCACUGGCCCCAGUGACUGGAGGUGAGGAGGGGCAAGGGAAGGGAGUGAGUGGAGCUGGUUGACCCCUCCAGGCCCCAGGUCACUUGUCCACUUCCGACCCAUUCUAGGGUCUUGUACCUAGAGAUUCCACGCAAGCUGAAGGAGUUGGAAGCAGAAGGCUACAAGGUCUGUGCCUAUGUGAGCAAGCGCGACAGGGUCUCUGAUGAGGAGGCCCUGGUGACAUUGUCUGCUCCCUAGCUGGUGAUCUUCACCAACCAGAUGGGCAUUGGACGAGGGAAACUGCCAGCAGAGGAGUUCAAGGCCAAGGUGGAGGCUGUGGUAGAGAAGCUGGGGGUUCCCUUUCAGGUAUGACUAGAAUGGAGGCUAGGGCCAGGGUAGGGUAACAAAGACCCUUGGGUGGGAGACAAACCCAGAGAGAGUCCCUGGGAUGUAUGGGACAGAGGCCUCUGCUGGGGUCAAGCCAUGAGCAGUUGUCAUGAGCUGUAUAUCCCAGAGCAUGGGCAGCUCUCUGGGGCUUGGUACCCAGCUCUUUGGGGCUUGGAAGAGCUGAGGAUGGUGUGUGACCCCUGCCCCACUUCAGGUGCUGGUGGCUACACAUGCAGGCCUGUAUCGGAAGCCGGUGACUGGCAUGUGGGACCAUCUGCAGGAGCAGGUGAGCUGUACCUCCUCUUCCCCUUGCUCUAGCCCCUGUUUCUUAGGGCUUGUUCUUUCUCUCCUCCCUUAGUCCUUGUCAUGUGGUUUAGCUGUCAGGUCCUAGGUGCUGGUAUAUGAGGUCAGUACCAUUAAGCUGAAGUCAGAGGUUGCAUCAGGAGCAGAGACAGGAGGGUAAGUUUGAGUCAGCCUGGGCAACUUAGGGAGACCCUGUCUCAAACUAUAAAAUAAGCCGGGCACAGUGUCGCAUGAAUGAAAUCCCAGCGGCUCAGGAGGCUGAGGCUGAGUUCAAAGGCAGCUGAUCAAACUCACUGAUCAGGAGUUCAAAGCUGGCCUCAGCAAAGGUGAAGCACUAAGCAACUCAGUGAGACCCUGUCUCUAAAUAAAAUACAAAAUAGGGCUGGGGAUGUGGCUCAGCUGUAGAGCACCUGCCUAGCAUGUCUGAGUCACUGGGUUCCAUCCCUAGUACCACCAAAAAAAAAAAAAAAUCAGUGGUUGAGAUUGUUAAUUCAUUCAACCAAUGGUUUGUUCUGAGCUGAAAAUCCUGGUAAAUAAUAGUGGCAUGCCUGCUGUAGCAGUACUCGUAGACCGCUGAUGGCAGCCAGCUAUAAAUGCACACAUGAGUAUAAAAUAGGAAGUAGGGUGUGAUUUUCCUACGGUAGACAGGGGGACGUCUCUAAGAAGGUGACAAAUUGAGUAAAAGUCUAAGGGAGGUGAGGGAAGAAGCCACAUGGAUAUCUGCAGAAGUGGUCCUGGCCAGAGUGACAGCUGGUGUGAAGGCCCCGAGCCUUGCGUGUUCACCAGUGCGGAUGCCCACCUGGUGGACCCAGGUGAGUGAGAGGGUGGGGCCUCGCCUUGGGGCCACGGGAGCAGAGUAGGAACGCGUGUGGGGUCUAAGUGGGGAUGGGAGCCUGGAAGCCUAUCCGCUCUGGCCUGAGUCUAGGCAGUGAAGCGUGAGAAGCGCUGCAAUGGUGAGGACUUGAGAGGUUUGAGAUCUGGCCUGAUGCAGGGAACAGACCAAGAGGAGCUGCCCCAGGGAGCCCUUUACUGCAGAGGGACAGUUGUUAGGAGUAGGUUCUAUUUGUCUCUCCAGGCCAACGAGGGCGUGCCCAUCUCUAUGGGGGACAGCAUCUUCGUGGGAGGUAAGGGCUUGGGGCUGCUGCGGGUGGGCCAAGACCCUUCUCUCCAAACCUGCUGGCAGUGAAGGGUAUCCUCGUGCGUUCCAGAUGCAGCAGGCCGCCCAGCCAACUGGGCCCCUGGCCGUAAGAAGAAAGACUUUUCCUGCGCUGACCGAUUGGUGAGCAGGUGACCGAUUGGGGAUCGGUCACCAAUGGUGAGCCCCGCACCCCGCCCUCGAUCUCUGCCUCACCUCUGCCUUUGCCCCAGUUUGCGCUCAACCUUGGCCUGCCCUUCGCCACCCCGGAGGAGUUCUUCCUUAAGCAGCCCACAGCAGCCUUUGUCCUCCCAGCAUUUGACCCGGUGAGGCCCGAGGGGUGGAAGGCAGGGAACAAGCAGGGGAAUGAGGGUCUCAACUUCUUGUUCCACCCCUCCUAGAGGACUGUCUCCUGCUCAGGGCCUCUCUGCCUCCCAGAGUCCAGCUCCCUCCUGAGCUCUGACCCAGAGGUGGUUGUCGCCGUGGGAUUCCCUGGGGGUGAGAUAUCCUGAUCCCCAUCUCUGGGUGCUGUAAGUGUCCUUCUGGGUCCUGGGUAUCCACUGAUAGUGAUUUUGUGCCUCUCAGCUGGGAAGUCCACCUUCCUCAAGAAACAUCUCGUGUCAGCUGGGUACGUCCACGUGAACAGGGUAAGAGGCUGCCGCGCCCCAUCCCACUGGUUCAUUCCCUGGCUGCCCCAACCGGGCCUUCAGGGCUGCCGCCCAGCACCCCUGCCUCCCCCUGCAGUUCUGAUUUGUUGCCCUGCCCCCACCAGGACACCCCUUCAUCUUCUAUUCCCUAUUGGGCAAUUCCUGCUUGUGACCUGCUCUCCUCUGUCCCCAGGAUACAAUAGGCUCCUGGCAGCGCUGUGUGAGCACCUGUGAGGCAGCUCUGAAGCAGAGGAAACGCGUGGUGAUCGACAACACAAAUCCAGACAUCCCAACCAGGGCCAGGUACUUGGCCCCAUGGGAGGUCUCUAGUAGGGCUGGCAAGGGCCUGGUGACAGCGCUUUCCUGGCCUCAACAGGUAUGUCCAGUGUGCCAGGGAUGCAGGUGUUCCCUGCCGUUGUUUCCUCUUCACUGCCACAUUGGAGCAGGCUCGCCACAACAACCGGGUGAGCCCCUGCCCUCCCCCUCCCUCCUGCCCUGCCCUGCCCCUCCCUCCCCGAUGGCCUCACUCUGAACCAUCCCCUAACAGUUCCGGGAGAUGACUGGCUCCUCUCACACACCAGUGUCAGAUGUCGUCAUAUUCGGCUACAGGUACCUCUAGUUAGUAGGCUGUGGGCUGGUAGGGCCUGGCCUCUCCUUACCACCUUCUCUGCCACCAGGAAACAGUUCGAAGCUCCUACGGUGGCGGAAGGCUUCUCUGCAAUCCUGGAGAUCCCAUUCCAGCUGCAGCUAGAGCCGCAACUAGAGCGACUCUACCGGCAGUUCUCUGAGGGCUGAGUUGCCCAGCCCCAUGCUCCCCUCCCUGACCUGGCAAUAAAUGCUAUUUUUCUCCAAGCUUGGCCAGCAUUUUGCUGGGAGGAAGGGUGGUCGUCUUGGAGGUGCGUCACCAGGCCUAGGCCAACCCCACGCCCCCACACACACACGCGCGCGCGCGCACACUUUUCUACAUUUUCAGGUUAACAGAAAAGGAGGGACCUGGACUGGCUCAGGCUGCUCCUCUGCACAUCUCAUGUUCUACACCAAACCACUCCACCCACCUUGGGCUGUGGAAAGGUGUCACUAGGAGGUUGUCAUGAGCAGGUCAAACAAGAGACUGAGAUGAGACAUGGGAAUGUAGGACAUUGAAUGGGCCCCUAUAAGCUAGCCAGAGCUUGGCUCAAGAUGGCCCAUGAGGGCACAGUGAUUGCAAGCUUGCCUAAUCAUGUGUGAGGCCCUGCAUUCAACUCCCAGUACUGCAUGAGGACAAAAUAUCCAGGGCUCAGGUUCUAUUGCAUUGGACUUGAACGCAGGGGAUGUGGGUCUUGGACCUGCCUAUGGAUCCCCCCUCCAGCUACAGGAGGCAAAAACGCCCCUGACCUAUGCUUUCUUACAGGUAAGUCCAGGGGAAAGAAACCAUGAGCACUACCUGCAAGGUCCUGGCACCAGGUACUGGAAACAGAGAACCAACACACGGCUUCAUGCUUCUGACACAAAGGCCCCAGGAGGUGAGGCCACC